AAGAACAUGCGAGACUGGGCCUGCAAAGAAAAGUGCACGACUGACAAAGACUCUUCACACUUUUUUAUCAUUCUCAGCUUGAUGGUUGUUUCGUUUGCUGUCGCCCAGUGCAAAUAUCGAAUAAUAGCAAGCCAGAAAACUGAAGAUCUGCCUUUGACCACAACCAAAGAAUUACUAGAUCAGAGAAUUUUCAAGAAGGUCAAACGAGAGGUUCAAGGAAACUUGCUAAAAUCCUCGGCCAUUUCCCUGGUGAUCGCGGCGAAGGAGGCUAAAGUGAGGCAGGAAAAGCUCAAGAAGCAGAUUGACGACUCGAGCACUGAGCUGCAGGACCUUCUCUUCGGCACCAUCAUGAACUCAACUAUGAUGGUUUGGAGUGUGUUGUUUCACUCGUGGCUUGGAUUCGUGAUGUUGAUGAUGGCCAAUGUAAUGUGGAUCAUCCCGCGCCAGAGCGUCUUCAUGAAGCGGAUGGUGCGUUUCGUCUCGACUUACACCUGCAUUCGCGUCAGCGUCACUUACUUGGCUAGUUUUACUUACGAUUUUCCGGAAAGCAUCAUGGGCAUCCACUUAAAGCAAUUCGGGCUAAAAUACGAGACGGAAAUGGAAAAACUUGCUCUUUUCAUGCAGUUCCUGUUUACGGCCAUAUGUCUGAUCACGUACCGCCAAUACACUAAGCCUUACAUCGCGGGCCUAAAUAUACCUUUAUCAGGAUUUAAGCGCUGGGUGAAGGUGAUCAGUCUGAUGUGGGUGCGUUAUGCUCUUCUCGCUAUUGUUGUUAUGGUACUGUACGACGUGCAGACAUUCAAGAUCGUUGUCGUGCCCUUUUACGUCAGCAUUGCAAUAGCAAUGUGGAUUCCUCGACAACCUGGAGUGCCACUGACCAUCUUCUUUUCGCUUCUGGUUGUGGUCGCAGAAAUUAAGUUGAUUCUCACUUAUGUCUACAAUUUUGCCGGCGCCUCCAAGUACAUUGGCGAGAUACUCGACCUAUCCGACGUCAAAAUUUAUUUUGCUUUCGGCCUGCGAAAGAUGCAAGGCGGUGCUUUGCUGCUCCACCUUUGGCUGCCUAAUAUCCUCGCAAUGUUUUCGGCAAUCUUCCUGACUGCCCUGAAGCGCGAAACCAUCGACAAUUUACAGAGAAAUUCGGAGCUCUGGGACGAGUCGAUGAAGGAGCUACUUCUCGUUUCAUCUAUUAAAAGGCGGCCGGACAAUGACGAGGAGAGCAAAUCAUUGGGCAAGCGGCGAGCUGCUCUAUCUACAGUUGAUAAUGAGCUUGACGAAAAAAUUAAGUGUGAUUGAUAAUUAUUCAUUACGUUAAUUUGAUCGAAAAUAAUUGUGUUUAAAAAACCAUUUUGUAGAUGUUUUGUUUGAAAAUCACAUCAAGUUGACACUACUUCCCAUUCGGAGCUUGAGCAAAGGAAGCCGCCGGGGCAGC